CCCUUGGAAAUCCAGGCCAGGCCUCCCACCCGCGGCGACACUUCCCCGGACUGUUAAUCCGUAGGUCCCUGGUUCGAGCCCAGGUCGAGGAGCCA
rnacentral:tRNA from 1 species